GAUGAACGCUGGCGGCGUGCCUAAUACAUGCAAGUCGAGCGAACAGACGAGGAGCUUGCUCCUCUGACGUUAGCGGCGGACGGGUGAGUACACGUGGAUAACCUACCUAUAAGACUGGGAUAACUUCGGGAAACCGGAGCUAAUACCGGAUAAUAUAUUGAACCGCAUGGUUCAAUAGUGAAAGACGGUUUUGCUGUCACUUAUAGAUGGAUCCGCGCCGCAUUAGCUAGUUGGUAAGGUAACGGCUUACCAAGGCAACGAUGCGUAGCCGACCUGAGAGGGUGAUCGGCCACACUGGAACUGAGACACGGUCCAGACUCCUACGGGAGGCAGCAGUAGGGAAUCUUCCGCAAUGGGCGAAAGCCUGACGGAGCAACGCCGCGUGAGUGAUGAAGGUCUUCGGAUCCUAAAACUCUGUUAUUAGGGAAGAACAAAUGUGUAAGUAACUAUGCACGUCUUGACGGUACCUAAUCAGAAAGCCACGGCUAACUACGUG
rnacentral:rRNA from 1 species